GCGCGCUUCAGAAGUCAAUUAAUUAGGGUUCGAACCAAAUAACUCCCCUCCCAAAAUUUCAAUCCCUGCUUCUCACCCGCUCCCCUACGUCAAGCCAUUCAAAGAACUCUGCUUCCAUUACGUUUGAUCUGAUCGAAGAACUAAGCCUUUUGUAGAACCUUUAGAGACUGGGUUAUCACUAAACCGUGUCUUUUAUAUACUCUACCAUAUACAAAAAUAAAAACCCUAAUUCUUUAUCCUUCCACAACUCUUCCUUUCCUCCCCCUCUCUAUCCUCCUACGGUGUUCUGUUGUUGAAGAUGUCAGUUCCGGCACCGGCACCAGCACCUCAGCUCCGUACGCCGGCGGUUCCCUCUAGCGGCUCAGCCGGAGAUGAUGAGAGCGGCGCACUCAUACUUUAUUGGAAAUUGAACCUUAUAAGGUGCAACCAAAAUCCGAGACACAAAGAAGGUCCUUUAUAUCUCUAGAUGAUGACACAAAGGAUAUCAAGAAUAUAUAUCUAGACACUGCAGGUGUGACUCCUAUGAGUUCUAAGAAAGAAGGAUAUUCAUCUGAGGACUUGUCGGUUGAUUCAAACGAAGAGUUCAAAUUGGUUAAAUAUGUUAACGGGGUUGCGGUCAGACAUUUGAUGGAACUGACAGGUUUUUCUUGUCAAGAAUAAUAGCAAGUUAAAAGUAGCCUAACACACAGUGUAUCAGGUGUAGAAAUAUAAGGUUUUAUUUCUCCAGAUAGACAAUGGUCCAAUAGUUGUUCCAAAUUUAAGAACCUGACGAUGUAAGAAAUAAUAUAAAAAAUAUGAAAAUGCCUUAUGUUUUAGUGUGAAUUUGUGAUUUAGAAUAGCUUGGAGGCUGAAUUACAAUAUGAAUUAGAAAAUAAGAUUUUGAAGGAAGAAAAUGAAAUUCCUGUUCAAAGAGGUGUGAUCGGACCAGCUAGGUGCCCGGUUCGGUUCAGUUUGAUUAUUAGCCUUAACCAAAACCAAAACCGAAGUCGUCGAUUAAUCUAUUUUAUUAACCAUUCGGUUAGUUUGUUGGUUUUGGUUCAGUUCGAUUAAUAACCAAACCAAACUUGGGCUAUAAUUUUUACUUAGAAAUACAUGGAAUGGAGGUAUAAACACAUGAAAUGGCAGUAUAAUAAUAUAUAAAGUUACACACAAAUGUGGUUUGAUAAUCUUUCUUGUUUAUGCUCUCUAGGUCAAAAGUUACACGCGAAUGCAGAGUCUAAUUCAGAUGAACUGGUGGAUCCACCCAAGGUUGAAGAGAAGCUUGGUGCUGUUCAACAUGAUUUAUCUACUGAUUCUGAUGUGGUCAAGAGGUUUGCUAAACCUUUAUGAAUGAUUUGAGAUAUAACUAAUUUCAUUCAUGUAGUGUUUGAGAGCAUGAUGCCCAACCAUUGACUACAAAAGAAACUCACAGCCAAAUUUGAAUUUUCAGCCAGGAGUUGGUACUCUUGAAUAUUGAGCAUAUCAUUGCUUUUAUUAUUUCAUAUAAAGAAUGCAUUAUGUUAAUGUUAGUUAUUCUAAGAGGUUUCAUUGUCAUGAUUCAAAGAAGCCGAGUCAAUGUCCAAGAAACAUCUUUGCAGCAAUGCAGAGAAGUUUGAGUUCCAGGCUGAAGUAUCGCGACUUAUGGACAUCAUCAUCAACUCUCUUUACAGCCUAAUUUGAGUUCCAGGCUGAAGUAUUGCGGCUUAUGCUUUGGACAAAAUUAGAUUCCUUUCUCUUACCGAUAAGGAGAUACUCGGUGAAGGUGAUGAUACCAAGCUUGAGAUCAAGGUGUGGGUAUGACAAUGGGGGAUCUGAUCAACAACUUAGGAAUGUCACAAAUUGAAGCUAUGUUAACUGCUAUGGUUUGAAGAUAGGCUAUAAACACUUGGUUUUGAAUGUUUUGAUGUUUAUCAUAUUAGGAUAAUUUCUGUAAUUUGAUGUUUUAGUUGGCAUUUAUAUUAGAAUGUUUUAUAAUUUUAUAU